AUAACAAUAGACUGCGUUGCGGAAAAACGACGGUUUGACGUGUAUCGUGUGUUUUUUGUCGAAAAAAUAAUUGAAUUGAAAUAAAAUAAAAGAUGUUCUCUGAUGAGGAAAUAAAAGAAAGCAGCCUCAUGCGUCCUGGAGACGAGAUAAUAAGCAUUCGAGAAGUAUGUUUAACUGACAAAUACGAUAAGAAAUAUUUGGGAAGCGAGCCUUUGCUGUCAAAUUCGAGUCGCAAUGAA
rnacentral:misc_RNA from 1 species